AUCUUCAUGUGGGGCGGGGGGUUCGAUUUCUGGUCGAUUUUCGGCAAAAAUCGACCAGAAAUCGAACCCCCCCCCGCCCACAUGAAGAU
rnacentral:pre_miRNA from 1 species